rnacentral:lncRNA from 1 species
GUUUGUAAGGUGAUUACUCAAAAUCGUUAUUUGAAAAUCCUGUUUGUGAGAUGUAGAUUCAUUUCAAUACAGAAAUUUCGUCUAUAUAUUUCACAAGUGUAUAACACGGAGAAGCUCUGAAGGUUCAUUACUCCCAUUUUGUUUGGGUGUGAACCAUCGAUGUUUACAGCAAUAUCAAAGAAUAAGGUGAAGAUGGUAGAAAGAACUAUGGGCGUCAUGUGGCAAAUAUUACAUGCAUAUCGGACAAUGAGUUGUCAAUCUGUAUGAAAAGAUUUCCAAUACAACUAUAUUAUUGAGAAGGAAUGUUUACAUGCUAUACUCUCGUACUAGUAUUACAGGGUUCUUGUGGCGUUCACCUUAGACACACAUCAUUUUAACGAUGUUUAAAAAAAGACAGAACCAAUUUAAUGUCAUAUUUCCCUAUUUUUUAAAUAUAACUAAAUUCUUUUAUCUGACAAGAAUACCCCUAUUCAGCGAACAAGUAAUUUAUUCUUUUUUUCUGUUAUUGAAUACCAAGAAAGAAAAUAAAUCCCGAAAUUAAUUUGAAACUUUGAUACUCAAAAGUUUCCCAGCAAAAUAUUCACAUCCCCUGGGGAUAAUUAGUGUUCGUCCAGUGGCAUAUAUAACAAUUGUGAUGACGAACUCCUUCCUUUGUUUGAGAACAAUCUUAUUGAAAUAUAAAUCUGUGAUUUUCCUAGGUCCACAGCUUCAAUGAACCAAAGCAAAAGUUAUACAUCGACCUGUAUUUAAAUCAAAUUGGUUCUCUUCUUCUUUUGGUAUACAACUGUAGUCUAUCGACAUUCGAUGAUUACAUACUGUUGGCAUACGUGGACUAGUCUAUUUUCAACACUUUUACCCCUAUUUAUUCAAAAUAUAUGUUUUUUUCUUAUGUUCAAUGUAUACACGUAUAUAUUUUAAAUUGCGCUAUAGUUCCGUAACUUUCUAUCCAGUCGUAUAAACGAAUCGUCGGCAAGUGCGUACAUUUUUUUAAAUC